ensembl:processed_transcript
CAGCCGUAAAGACGUCCUGCAGGAGAUGGAGAUGCUGGAUGCGUUCAGCACCACCAUCCACGUGCAGAAUAUCUCAAGUGGGGAUCAUCUGGUUGAAGCUCUAGAGCUCCUGGGGAGCUUCACAGAUGCUGAGAGAACCACCAUCGCCCAGCAUGUGAAAGGAAAAAGAGUGUGGAUUGGCAUUAAGAAGCUGCUCAUGCUUAUUGAAAUGUCUCUGCAGAUGGAUCAGGAGUACAGAGUUAGCAAGUUCCUUUCUCUACUCAAAGAUGAGGGAGCGCUGGAUGAAAACAAUCACAUUCGAAUUUAACUCUACCGGUGAAAAGCAAUGUGGAUACAACCCAGGCUAUCACGCACCAUAUAUAGGCUAGUUUAUGAAGAUUUCUAUGAGAAAGGCAAGGAUGACUAUGCAGAUGAGACAGAGGGAGAUGGCAAAUUUAACAUGACUGAUGCUGCUCCGUUUACACGAGACCGCGGCUUCUUCGAGUAACAGAAGACAGGAGACGCUUUCAACCUUCUGCAUGUUCCCGAAAAAAAAAAAAAAAACUCCAGCCAAACUCCACCUUCACAAAUGUAACAGAUAUAACCUGACGGAGAUCACACUUCAUAUCCAACCAAUAUCAAAUAUCGUCUUGUGCUUUGUGUAAGACUUCUGUACGCUGUUUGUUUACAUUAAAUAUACGUUCCAAUCUGCUCAAAGAAAGCCAUGAAGAUGUAAAGAUUAAAAAAAUAAUUGUAUAUAUGCUGCUGGAUGCAAAACAUAUAUUGUGAGACUAUAUCAUGCAACCUGAAUCUCAAAAGUAUGAUAUAAGGAAGCUGUUA